UGGAUCCCUAACACUCACCUCCAUAACUAGACCAGGACUACUCUCUACCUCCUAUCAGCCCUUAUUACUGGCAAUGAUCUCUUGGGAGUUUCGUACAGUCACCCUUGUUCAUUCUUUCUGCACCCAAAGAACUACUACUCUUGUGAAAUGGACAUGAAGAAUUAAUCAGGCUGUUUAUAUGGUGGAUUACAUUGAUGGAUUUUCAUAUGGUGAACCAUCCUUGCAUCCCUGGGAUGAAGCCUACUUGAUGAUGGUGGAUGAUUUCCCUGACGUCCAAACUUAGUUUUUAUACAAAAGCCACAAGUGCUCUUCACCACUGGGCCAUUUGCAGUCCCUGAGGUCAUGGAAAUAGCUGCCUACCACUGGGGAGACCACAAACAGGCUAACACUGGCUCAGAUCUCCAAAUGAGAACCAAAAAGCAAGUUGAACUGUGAACCUAACAUAGGAGUAAGAAUGCACUUUGCUCUACGUGCUAGUUUGUUUGAAGCAUAUAAGAAGAAUCAAACAAAACCAGAGACAGACAAAGAAGGGGAAAUAUAGGUUCCCAGAGGAAAGGAAACAACUGAAGCAAGCGUAAAUUUGCUAAUGUUUCACACCCAGGAGCUAAAGUAAAUGGAAGUCCAGACUGGAUCACACCAGUCCUCAGAUGGACCAAGUAACAGGAUAUGAACAUGUGCGGUGUACCUGAAGAUCCAUGUGUUAGUUACAAACAUCAUGGCAAUGCUUUGCAUCUCUGCAGAACAGGUUUCACCUGUGAGCUCCUUCCUCCAAUAUAAGCCAGCCCUGAACAUCUGCUACAAAUGUGCACAUUUGCUAGCUCCUAGGAGAAUUGAGGUGAAGGCUAAACUAGGGAAAUUGCCUUGGUCUUUGUAAGUUUUACCCUUAGAUCCUAUGAAAGAAGAAAAGGCACGUGUAGAGUAAGGAAGAGAGAGAGAUUCUUUUUUGAUAAAAAGACAGAAAUAGCCUAAACUAAUUAUAUUAACCUAAAAACAUAAGUGAAAAUUAACAAGAAAUAAAAACUCUGAACUCUGCAAAUGGCCUCUCAUCUGUGCUAUUGAAACCCUACACCCUGGAGAGGAACAAGCUCAGGCCAGGAGCUAACCCGCCAAAGUGAAAUUCUAGAAAUAGAGAACGCUUCAGGCGUCUUGAAUGCAGCUAAGUCUUGCAGAAUUUUCCCAAACUUCUGGAUUCGGUAAAAGAUGAUUCAGAUUUUGCCUCGAGCCAUUACUUUUGGAAAACCAUAUGUAUUUUUGAACAAAUUCAAUUUGGAUGUUUCUUAUUUUCUUGCCCUUUAACUCAUUAAAAUGUUAUUAUGUGGGAGUCAUUUGUUUGGGAAGCAAUCUGAGUCUUUUGGAAAAUCUUUGAAAGCCUUUGUUGUUGGGAUCUGAAGCAAAUUUCUGCUUAUUCUUGAGUCUAUACAUUCAAAGCGAACUGGAAAAUUAUGGAAAUGAUCUGAACCAAAGGCAUAGACCCCAGGCUAUCAUACCUUUCUUGCAUGGCUACAGGACCCUCACAUCCAGAAGAAACUCAUACUUGAAAUGUUUUUGCACUACUGAAAUUCUUAACAAUUGAUCUCUGUAAGUAAUAUCAAAGGGUUGCUGGGAAAUUGAUGAACCGAAAGUAAUCAAGAAUGUGAGCAUAUGCUGUUGGGAGCGAUUUCCAGGGGUUCCAGGAACCAGGCGCUCCCUCCAGUCUGUAUUGAAUGGAUGCUAACUGAUUUGCAAUUGAAUGAGGGGUUAGGUGUGUGUAAGUAACAAGUGAAGACAGGAGUUAGGGGCGAGCUACCAGAGAGGAUAGAGAGGGAAAGGAGUGAUCUCUUGGCGGCCAUGGAAGGAUGGUUAAGAAACAGUCGAAAAGAUGGUAAAUAAAGAAAAGACUCUAGUUUUACAGCAUGGAACUGAGAGCUCUCUAAACAUGAUUAGAUGCCUGUGUUUGGUCUUUAUUGUCGUUGGGUUGCUAGGAGUUUCCAGGUCCACACACCCCCACUCAGGCCGAACUUCAUGGGUUAAGGCUGAGACAUCCCGGGUCAGGACAAUAUGUAUCUACAGCACUGCUGUGCCAUUUGAAGUGAGCAUAGACCUCCAGUGGGCCUGCCUGUGGAAGUUCAGUGAGAUUCAAGAAGCAGAGGUGAGUAAACUCGGAAGGAGGGGGAAGCUGAUGAGAGUGCCAAUAGCGGAGAAAAGGCCACAGUUUGCAUUUGCACAAAAGUUUACUUUGAAUGCAGAAAGAUGGCUGGGGCAUUCUGAGGAAUAGAAACCAAGAAAGAUGAUCAUUUCCUUUCUUAUUUGUGCAUUAGCCAUCUCCUUGCACUCAAUAAAAAGGAUAGUGAAUAUAGGGCAAGUCAUAGUUGUUGUCCUUUCAGGAACUCUUAACUCAUCAGUAAGUCAAUGGUAGAGAAAUUUGUUAGAAUAUGUGCACAAGAAGUGAAAUAGCUGUUGAUUAUUUUUUGUGCAUCAACUCCAGUCUUUCAGAUAAUAAUAGAGUACAUACACACAACCAUAUAUUGCUUAAAGAAAGGGAUAUAUUCUGAGAGGCAUAUCACUAGAUGAUUGUGUCUAUUCGACAUCACCACAUAGUUUUGUGCCAACAUACCAAAGAUCAAUCCUUAGAGAUGGAAAGGCAUAAGACAGUGUCAAUCCUUAGAGACGGUUCUUGGUGCAGCCAAGAAAGAGAUUAAAUAUAAGCAGAGAACUGCCAAAGGCAUAAGACAGUGUGAUGUUUUACAAUGAAUUUGUUUUUAUAUGUAUAAAGCUGAGUACAUGCUAAAAUAAUGGUGAAAAUGCAGUAAAUAUGUUAAACUUAUAUAACCACCUACUGGCAUUAUCCAGUAUUGUGUACAGAGUAUAAUUAUGCAUGCUGUGCUUUUAUAGAACCAGAAAUAUCAAAAGUUGAUUUAUAAGAGCAUAAACACAUGCGCGUGAUAAUGUGAUGGUGACAUAAUGAUGGUUAUGAUGUCACAGAUAGGAAAAUUUUAGCUUCAUCACAAUUUUAUGGUUCAGACAUUAAAUGUGCAGCCUACUGCCAACUAACACAUCAUAGGUGUCUCUGACUAUGUACAAGCUAUGAGAAAUGAGUUGUGUAAUUUCAGUGACCUGCCUCAAAGAAGUUAAAUACUCUUCAAAAUUAACAUUGCACAAUCUAUGCUAAAUGAUAAAAUUAUUGUUGAUAAUUUGUUACAUUAAUUGUUUUAGAUUUAGAAUAGUGAAUAGUAAAUUUAAAGUACCAUGACUAACAAAAACAAAGACAGGAUUUUCUCUCAAUGUCUUCUCUAAUGGUAUCCUGCCCCUGCUUGUUGAGCAAGAAGUCCAGUCUUUCACUUCUCUCUGGGCCUCACCAAUGAGUUAGUUUUUGCCUAGGAACUUGUCUGAAAUGCAGUCAUGGGCACAUGUGGAAGCCUGAGAACCAUGGGUCUGAAUCAUUCCAGCUGAAGAAUCCCUAAUGAGUCUAGCCCUUCAGAAGCCUUAAUUCUAGGACUCUUGUCUUUUAUCUGCUCUAAAACAGUACUAAGAGGCUGUAAGAAGCAUCACAGCCUUCAGAUUAGGUCUCCACGUGUCUACCGCCUCAUGCCGGGUUGUGUCUUUUGGGCCACAUAUCUGUGUGGCAACUCCAGGCAGGAACAAGACUCUAAUCUUCCAUUUCCAUGGCCUUGAAAUGGGGUUGUUAAUGCUGGUCUCACACAGGGGAUGGGAAACUUAAAUGAGCUAGUAUACAAUGUUUAGCAUAGCACAUGGAAUGUUAUAAACACCCACAGAAAGGAGCCAUAAGUACUAUCCUUUCUGUCAGUACUCAUUAGAUUAGCUUCUUCCUAGACAAAUCCCCAAGGUGCUGUCUAUGCUUCGUUCUCUCUGGAUGUUCCCUCUGUCUUUAGUAAGACAAAACAACAAGAAGUGUUGAACCCCAUCACUAGCAGUGGGAACAGGAUGAAAAAAUGAAUAGGCUGAUUAUACUCUUGAUUAGGCAUUUUCUUAUCUGAAAGUGCCGUAUUCUGCCUUCUCAAAUGACUUUUUUUAUAACCCUAAAGCACAGAAAGAUGUACCCUCUCAUUUGACUGAUUGUGGUAUGGCAGGGACUGAUUGUGGUAUAGCACGUAGAAAUUUCAUGACCAUAAAGAGUCUGGGCUUCUAGCUGGACCUACCAAGGGCCUGGUUGUCGCUUGAUAGCUGACUGUUUGCAGAGACUGACUGGCUGGUUCAAAUACAAAGACUUUAUUUGCAAGUUUGUGGGAAGAUCUAAGCAAGGAAGGUGUAUCCAGCCUCAGGGGCCCACUGUGAAUAUGCUCUGUCGUUACUGUGAUGACCAUGAACCCAAGUCCGGACCAGCAUCUUACUCUCAAACUCUUAGGGAAAUAAUUUCGUAAAUACUUAACUUCCUCACCUCUACUAAUGUGAAGGUAAUUUCUCCUGCCCACCCCUCAUCUGAGCCCAAAGAAUCUCAUAAAGCUCUUUAUAAGCAAAGUAAGCUUUGGAAAAACAGGCAAUUUUGUUGGUAAUACUAUCUUCAAAACAAAGGCACUGAAAAGCCCUACAACCUGGGGAAGGAUAUGUUGUUAAUGAACCUCUUUGCCUGACAUGUUGUAGGAGCCAAGCUGUAUAUUUGUAUGUGUGCUCAUUUCAACAGUAGAAAAUGUGUGUAAGCACCAACUUAAAAUGUCUAUAAAAAGGUUCACUGAGCUCUGGAAGGAGUGCCCCAAAGCUGUUAUACAGUGUCAGAUCUCACAUUCAAACCCAGGGCUGCCAGGGUUUCCUCCACAUGGACUGUGGCACAUCUAUCAUGGGCUUACCUCUCAGAUGGGCUCCUAGAAAGUGUCACCCAUCUUCUACUGUGUCCAUGCCUUGAUUCUAACAUGGUUCCUACAGUCCCUGAGGAUUAAGUCUUGCCUUAAGAAAGCUUUGCAUUGCAACAGCCAUUCUCAAAUUUUAAUGUGCCUGGAUGCCCCUAGAAAUCCUCAUACAGUAAAGAUUGUGAUUUGGUAGGUAUGUGUGGGCUAGAAAUUCUAAUAAGUUCCCAAGGGAUGCUGGUACUGUGGGCUCUCCACCUAAGAUGCUGAAACAGCAAGACUUGACUCUAGGCAGCAUGGUGAGUUUGUAGACCCCACAGACAAGAGUGUUGCCUUUAAGGUAACCAUGGAGCAAGAUAAAAUCAGAGGAUGGAUGAUGGUUGUCACCUGUGACCAGACAGGGAGUGUUGAGAGAGGCAUUAGAUGUGCCAGCUUGGGCUCACAGUCUUCCAAGAACAAAGACUUAAUUUCUAGGCAGAUUUCUGUAGGCUGAAGAUGAGAGACAUUUCAGGUAAGGCUAUUUCUGAGCAGUGUUUUACCUGGAAAAAUAUACCAGCAACUAGAACUCUGUGAGACAUCUUUAAUGAUGCCAUGGCUGAUGGGCAACUUCCCCCACACUCAGCACCUGGCCCCAUCCUGCCUAUCCAAGGCCAGAUCUCCAUGUAACAACAGAAAUAGCUUAUUUUAAGGUCCUACAAAUGAAUGAGUGAAUGUCCCAUCUUUCUUGCUCUUAGCUCUCACUGUCUACUGGCUCUCCUGAUACAUUUGGCCAUUAAAGAAAUCUCCACAUGGUUGAGUGUCACAGUAAAUGUCCAAGGAGUAUUGGAGGACAGGGAAAUGACCCACAACCCUCUUAUGUAAGAAGCCCUCUGUAUAAGAAGAGAAAGUAGUGUGGAAAACUGGUACUGUUUUAACAGUAGCCAUCUUCCCAUCUGGAUUCAUCACAAAGUCUUCCCUACAAGACACAAAAACUUAAAAGAUUAAUCAACACCCACUGAAAAGUUAGUCUAGAGUCUCAGAAAUGGCAGAUAAGUUCCCAAGGUCUAUAAUAGAGCAGGCUGUCUGGAGUUAACAUCUCUGUGGAUGUCCAGAAACUCACUUAAGAGCUAAAUCUGAGGCCACAUGCCUGCAACCCUAGCUUCCAGGAGGCUGAGACAGGAUCUACAUGUUUGAUGCUAGCAUGUAGAUGGCAUAGUAAAACCACCUGCUUCAAAAACAUUGCAUUUUGUUAAGAGGGUGAAUUUCAAGUUGUGCUCUUACCAUAAAAAUGGGGGUUCGGGGUAAGGAGGAACCCUUAGAAGUGACAGAUAUUUACUGUCUUGUUAAUGGUGAUGGUUCAAUGAGUAUGAGCAUUUGUUAGAAUCUAUGAGAUUCUGUAUAUUAAAUAUGUGCGCUCUUACAGAACAAUUAUACUUCAAUGAAGCUGUGAAAACAAAAUACAGGGGAAUAUAUAAGCAUACUGUGUAUAUAUGUGCACAAAAAGCUCAGAGAGAAGUAAUGUUUCAAAAAGAAAGCUUAUGGAAAUAUAGCUCUUGGCAAACCUGCAAAGACCAUGCAAGGAUGAAGCACUGCUAUUCUGUUGAAGAGAUGUAGUAUCCAGGUGCCCAAGCUAUCAGGAUAUUAGAGCAUCACAGUGAACUUCUAAAAAACCAACUACACAAAUAAGCAAGUAAGUGUGGACUCCAGUAACAGAAAACUGAGUAACAUUUGACAUGAAGCUAGCAGACCAUCUGAAACAUCAAAAUCUAUUACUCUGAUGUUCCAAUAGAUUCUGGAUCCUCAGGUCCAGGAUAUUAUCUCAUUCCCUCCCCCAUUCUCCCUUCCUUCUGCACCCCUCCCUCCAUACCUCACCCCUCCCUCCUCUCCAUAUAAAAAUAUUCAACAUUCAUUUCUUGAUUGUAAACUCUGCCACUUCUCUGCUGUAGUCCUACCUAGGACCUGGUUUAUGGAAGGUGCACAUGGUGUGCCAUGACUUACAUGAGUCCUUCUACCAGCCAUGGUCUCCACUUAACCCAGAAAAACUAGCAUGAGCCUCUGCCUGAGUAAUAUUCAUCAAGGGAAUACAACUGGAGAUAAAGAAGAAACUGACUACUUACUUUGUGAAU